AUGCAAUACAAAUACAACCAAGGAAAAAUUACAAUAUAGAAGUCUCCAUAGCCAUGGGAUUGCAUUUUUUGAAAACCCAAUGCAUUCUGGCAAUUCUGAUUACAUUUGUCUCAACAUCAAUUUCAAGUUCUCUCCCAGAUGCCAAUUUCCAAAUAGCGAAGCCAAACUGUAAGAAUCUUUGUGGAAACGUACCCAUUCCCUUCCCUUUUGGCACUACCGAAGCAUGUUUCUAUAACAGGUCAUUCUUAGUCACUUGUAAUGAAACCUUCAGUCCUCCCAAAGCAUUUGUAACGAACUCGACCGUAGAAAUCACUAACAUAUCCCUGGAGGGCCAAUUGCGCGUCCUAAGCUACAUAGCGAAAGACUGUUAUUAUCAGAAUGGCAACAGAAGCCUGCAUAAUGCUCCCUUGAUACAAUUAAUCUGGGGCCUCUCCAUCAGUACUGCAAAUAAAUUCACCGUGGUUGGUUGCGAUACUAAUGGUUUUGUGCAUGGUCGGCGGUUUAACAAAAAUUUUUAUCGGACAGGGUGUAAUUCUUAUUGCGGAUCCAAGGAGGAUUUGGCAGACGGUAUGUGCUCUGGUCUAGGCUGCUGCCAAACUUCUAUCCCAAAAGACGUGCGGAGAGCAGAGAUGACAUUGCAGAGCUAUGAUAAAUUCAAAAAUGUGUGGGACUUCAACAAUUGCAGCUAUAGUUUCCUUGCUGAAGAAAGUGCAUUCAAUUUUACUCCAAGUAGUCUUUCCAGCCUGAGGAAUGUAAUAAGUCUUCCUAUGGUGGUUGACUGGGCGGUUGGAGAUGGAACUUGUGUGGAGGCUCAAAAUAACAUGUCUAGUUAUGCAUGUAAAAGUUUGAAUUCCAAGUGUAAAGAACCCGAUAAUGGUUAUGGGUAUCGCUGUUAUUGCGAUGAGGGUUUCCGAGGAAACCCAUACCUCGAUGGUGG
rnacentral:lncRNA from 1 species